AUACGUAGGGUGCGAGCGUUGUCCGGAAUUACUGGGCGUAAAGAGCUCGUAGGUGGUUUGUCGCGUUGUUCGUGAAAACUCACAACUCAAUUGUGGGCGUGCGGGCGAUACGGGCAGACUAGAGUACUGCAGGGGAGACUGGAAUCCCUGGUGUAGCGGUGGAAUGCGCAGAUAUCAGGAGGAACACCGGUGGCGAAGGCGGGUCUCUGGGCAGUAACUGACGCUGAGGAGCGAAAGCGUGGGGAGCGAACAGGAUUAGAUACCCUGGUAGUCCACGCCGUAAACGGUGGGUACUAGGUGUGGGUUCCUUCCUUGGGAUCCGUGCCGUAGCUAACGCAUUAAGUACCCCGCCUGGGGAGUACGGCCGCAAGGCUAAA
rnacentral:rRNA from 1 species